GGGGGCACCACCGGGGGCUCCCGGGGGCACCACCUGGGACUCCUUGGCUCCCUGAAAUCCGGGUGGCGCUGCAGUCCCGAUCCCCCCGGCCUGCGUCUCCCCAACUUUCCCGCUGAAUCUUCCAGUUCCGCGCCACCCCCCACCUCCCGUUGUGGGCACAGUAGGGCCCUUCCGGAAACCGGAUCCUGGAUUGCGUUCCACAUCCCCAGAUAGUGGAAUGCUUGUGGAAUUAACGUCGUCAUCAAAUACAUUGAGCUCCAGCCACAAGCUGGGGGUGGAGUAUAUGAGCUGCUGAAGUGAGCACAGGCUAAGAUUUGUAAAUCUCACCUGGGUGAUGCUUUCCCACACACUCCUGUGGGUGUCGGCAGGAUUCAGUUCCUCACAGGCUGUUGGACUGAGGGCCUCAGUUCUUCGCUGGCUCUUGGCCAGAGGUCUCCCUCAGCUCCUUGCCACGUGGGCCUUUCCGGUGGGCCGCUUGCUUCAUCAGAGCAAGCGAGCAGGAAGGAGAACAUGCAGGCAAGAUGGAAGCCACGGUCCUUUGUAUCCCAUCACUUUUGCCAUAUUCUGUUCAUUAGAUUCGAGUCACUUGGUCCAGCCUACACUCAAAGGGUUUUAUACCAGGGCACGAAUACCAGGUGGCAGGGAUCGUGGGGCCAUCUUAGGAAGCUCUCUGCCACAACAACUAAACCCCGAGCUGCAGUGCCUUUUCAUAACCUAACCAAUGAAUGACAUUUCAUCAUUUCCGCUAUAUGUUACUGGUCACACAGACCAUCCCUAGUAUAAUAUGGGAGAGGACUACAUGGGGGGUGAAUUCCAGGGGGUGGAGGUCACUGGGGGCCAUACUAGAGGCUGACACCACAGCCCAACCAAUGAAUUUCUCCCCUUCAUCCUGCUUUGAGCCCCCAGAGGCUGGCUUAUGUGGACACAUCAGUGGGCUCUCUGGCUUCUGGUCAGAUGCAGCCAAUGGGGAGCACUGGCAAGGAUGGAGUGAAGUAGGGGUACAUAUUCCCCUAGCUCCCUCAUUGCAGGCUGGCUGCACCUUCAACUGAAGGCCACAGGACCUGUCAGGUGGCACUAACAGUCAUCUGAACUACCCUUCAUGAAUUUAGUUUCACCUGAUCCAUAAAAUUGGAUGUACACAGAAACAUUCCACUGUAAAGAGGAAAGUGGGUCUACAGGACUGGGCCUGAAAAUGACAGAUUCCCGUAACACCUGCUUCGACCACUCCUCAACCCACACGUACAGACUCAGGGGAUUUACCCGUGUCCGGUCCGUGACGCCUGCAUAAUAUGCUGGCAUGAGCCAGACGUGAGCAGCUAUUGUAUUACAGCCUCACUUGGGUGCAGCUCUGAAAAGACAGUGGCGAAGGGAAAUCAUCUCAGAUGCUAGAACGUUGAGUGGAUGACUGGUUUUCCACUUCUUACAUGAGUGGAGAUGGCCUGAGGGACUGAUGGACACUGGCUAAAGGGUUGCCCAGUUGAUCAGAGACUUGGAAAGAACAAGAUUAGAGAUUAGGGAUGGCAGUCUGGUGGGGAAGUAUGUGGAUGAAUUUUUCUGCAUGGGCCCAGAAUGUGAAGAUAUCUUGCCCUGUGUAAAUACCCAGGAGAAGGCAUUCAGUAUAGAGGAGGUCUUUGUAAACUGUGGAUGUUGGCCUUUCCCACUCACACCCGCCCCAGCCCAAGACCCCCAGUGCUUGUUCAAAGAAACCAUAUACAAAGUCGCCGUAGUAACAGGAUGGAGGCUAUGCAUGGGUUCAAUGGCAUGGGCUGCCCUUCAUCAAGGCUGAUCUGGCUGCCUGACUACCACUGCGGAGGACCCAGCCUGACAACAGCAGAAGCCAGCUUUGAGGACCUGAUAGGACACUAAUCUUUGGGGGGACCAGGUGUCCAGCUGGUGGCUGGUGGGUUACAUUCAACUCCUGGAGGAGGCAGCAAUAUGCCUGUCAACUGUAGAGUGGUUGUCCACAUGCGGCUGUACCCUCCCUGCCUGCCGCCCUGGCAUCUGCGGACUUAGAGAAUGCUAUGUCCAUCUCCGCAGUACACAGCAUCUUCUCUAACCAGGGAACACAUUUUCAAUGAAGGAAGUGUGACAGUGGGCGCAUAACUGUGGAGUUCACUGUGUAAUCAUGUGCUUUGUGUCAAAUUAGAUUAUUGCUUAAAAUAUUCACACAUGCUUCCCUUUUCUAUGUGAGAGAAAUGUACUUUGCUGCUUCAUUCAUGUUGGGCUUGGCCAUGUGGAUUUUCUCUGACCAUGGGAGGUGGGCAGAUGUGAUGCAAGCAAAGGUUUAAACUGUACUUGUACAGUUGAGUUUGUUUUCUUGCUCCUACCAUCAUGAGAAGAGUGAACCCCAAGAGGCCCACUGGUCCAAGGAAGGUGAUAGAAAUGUGACCUGGACCCAGUCUGCAGCUUGGAGCCAAGCCCAUGGGAACCCAGCCCACACCAGCUUGACUCCUAGAUGCAUGAGUGAGAAUAAAUGAUUGUGUUUUGCCUCUGAGUUCUGGAGCAGUUUGUUACACAGCUUUAUUGUGGCAAUAGUAGACUGAUACAUGCCCCAUUACCCAGAAGCAUCUGGCUUAAAAGAGAGCUGUAUAGCCUACUGGGAGGCAGUUAUGACACCCUGCGAGGUGUGAUAGACAGUGUUGGGUGCAAUCUCCCCCAUAGUGGAAUGCAUAUUAUUAUUUUUUUGUAUGUUUGUUGGUUUCAAACAAUUCUCCAGGUAUUUUCGUUUCUGUGAAGGAGUUGAAAUGUCUGUGACCCACACUGAGGCCAGUAGGCAGAAAUCUUUACUGUUCUUUGCGCAAGGGAAGGACAACCUCUCCUAACACCAGUGAGGACCACAGGAAAUGGAAGUGGGAGAAGGGAACACAGCUCCAGGGCUACUGCAGGCCAGCCCCUCUGCCCACUACCCUCAGCCUCUACCCCCAGUAAUAAAAACAAAGUGGUCGGGUCGCACCUCCUCUUUCCCAGGGCGGUUCUCUCCUCAUUUACCCACAACCGGCAUUGAACUUGCCUCUGCUCUGUGCCUGGUAGGUGGCCCAUACAUGUCACCACCGGAUUGUAGGUAAGAGGCCAUCCUGGCAUCCUUCCAGAGCACUUAGCACAGAGCCUUGCUCUCAGUAAGUGAUUGGUAUCAUUCUGUUGGGGGGACAAUCUCGUUUAGUCCAGCCUCCCUCCGGAAGCAGAACUUCCCUUACAGCAUCGCGGAAGGGGUCACUUCCAAGAACAAACUGAAGUUUGACGGUGCUCAUGAGUGCAUGAAUAAAUGAAUGAAUUCAGUGAAUGGCAUUGCUCUUUUCCCUCAUCUGACUGUGGCCUGCUGGGAGCACCCUCGUCUAGCGGUCCUCGAUGUUUCGGCCCCACGCCCAGUCAGGGUUGUUCUAGUCUCUCGGCGGACGUCCCCUUCGCUCAAGCGAAGUCGCGGUCCUAACACUGUAAUGGCCCCCGAGGGCCACCGUAGCUGGCCGCCGACUUGCGCUUAAAGCCCGCGCUGGCGGCGGCGCCAUUUUGUCUCCGGGCACUUCCGCGUGUGCGCACCUGGUCCUGCUUUUCCGGCUGCGCGCGCAUCGCUGAUUUGUGGGCAGGCCGGACCUCGAGCGAUGCUUUCAGCGUUUCAUCUCCGAGCAAACUCACAGGCGUCUUUAGAGCUUUCUCAGGCACUCAGUUAUUUGCUCCUCAAAACAGUUUCGGAGAGAGAAGAGGCAGAAAUCACUGUCACCUGAAGCAAAUGCCUCAGCUCUCCACGGUUCGCCUGUAUUCUGCCGUCCCAUCGGCGAUGACCGCAUCCAGGGGAUAGCGCUUCUUGCGGAUGCUGCGCCCGGAGGAGAUGAGGUCGGCAUAGCCACGCUGGUGGGAGAAAGCGUAGGCCGAGCGCCGUGCGGACACGCCCCGGCGGAACACAUUCUGCCGCCGCUUCCACUGCUCUUCGGCUUUUAACCGCUUUCGGUGCUUCUGAAUCUACGAAAGCAGGAGAGAUGGGAAAAUACCAACCUGUAAAUUGAAAUGCAGAUGGAAAGAGAACAUGUAUUCCGGCACUAUGAAGGUCAAACAUGAUGCCAAAAUAAAUUGCAAUGCUUCCAAAAAUUGAAAAAGCAUUCACAAAAGUCCAAUAAGAAGUAUCCAAGCCAAUCUGUUGGGAAACCAGAGAAAAACAGAGCACUCAUUUUGGGGAGUUAGCAAGAAAUAAAGGAUCUAAGGAUUCUGAAAAUAGAAUUCAGCAAUUUAAGCAUGGUAUGGCUUGGAUACUGAACAAUCAGAAGCUAUCUUUGGCUCAGGCAAGAAAUAGGAAAUAUGUUUGGUAUAAGGGAUGAGAAUAGCAUCCAUUCAUAUUUGCAAAGCAGCAGAGCCUCAGUUGGAGGAAGAAUGGGAGCCAGGCGGAUGUGCACGCUGGUCUACAUACAGAAAUGCAUACAGUACCAACAGGUACUGAAAACAGUUGACUAAAGCCACAUACCUGGAAAUUGACUGUUAUUACAAGAGCAGAGGCAAUUGUGACAGCAAAAGAUUGGUAGUCUGAGGGCGCCUCUCCAUCCUGUCCCACAGUUUGCAGAUAAGCUCCAAGAGGUAUGAAGAAGAGGACCAAAGAUGUUAAAACCCCGUGCAACAAGCUUACGAAGAAUCUCCGGUAGUUGAAUAGUAAGUCUCUUUGUCCCACCAUGUAUAACCCGGGGAAGCGGAGGCUCAGUUUGUCGCUCACAUCCUUAAGGGGAAAACACAAUUACAGUUGAGUGCUGUCCAUCAGGAUCAAAGAACUCAAGAGAUACGUCACAACCUCUAUCUCGAAAGGAGUUGCAACUUGUUAAGUUCUAGGAAGGCAAAAACUAAACAAGAUGAUAAAUCCUGAAUAAUUUCAUUGUGCAGAGAGCAACCUCGUUACUGUAGUCCACCAUCAUUUGAUAUUUAAUUCUGAGACUAGGUAAAGUAUUACUAUUUUGCUACUUAAGAAAGCAGAUCAGUAAUGUUUAAAGAAGUGUAGGAAGCCCAUUUUUACUUUCUGAGAAUACAUUUUUUCUAAUACUUUGGGAAAGCAUUUUCACAUACACAUCGAUGAGUUAAUUCCAAAUUAUUCUUUUUAUUCUUGAAAGCAGUUUCUGUAAAAGUUGCUACUAGAUAGAAUGCGGACUAAUUUGGAAAUUAAACCUGUAAGUUUGGGGAGGUAUUAAAAUAAUUUACUUUAAAGAUGUGUAAGUUGUUAUUGUAGAGACAUACUGUUAGGUAUCUAACAAGAAAAUCUUAGUGUCCGAAAUGAGGGUAAUAAACUCUUUUGUCAAUGAAUUCAA